rnacentral:lncRNA from 1 species
AUGCAUAUUUACAGGGGGUACUUUCUAAUGGUAUAUAUUUGCUUGGGAAUGCCUUUCUUCUUUUUUUUUCUUGUUUCCUUAUGUGAUACCAGAGAACAUGAAACAAAUGCAACCUAUCAACUUAUCAACCCUUUUUCUAUAUUAGGGCCAGUAGUUGAGCUGCAAGAGAUUGAGCUUGCAGAUUUAUGGGGAGGCCUUGAUGACCAGGAAGUUUGUGAGGAGCUCAGUGAAAAGUCUGCACUCUCUCAAACAGAUAUUUCUGAGGGACAGACUUUAGCAUACGAACCUGUAGUUGAUGAUAGGCAAGGCACAUAUGGAAUGAGCGCUACUGUCAGAGAAGAUCCUUUUGAACAAAUGGACAUGAGUGAAGCUGGGACUAGAGGGAUUUCUAAGGAAGAAAACCAGACAGCAACUGUGCCUCUGAAAACAGAAUCAAGUGAUGCAGAGGUAAGAGAGGAAAGUGAGGAUGGUGUGUCAACGAUGAAAAGCACUGAUUUUGAACCUAGUGAUUUGGAUGGAGAUACAAUCCACAGUGAGAAAUCUACUUUCCGUGGAGACACCAGAACUGAGACACAAGCUGAGUCUGCAAGUGCAGACAGCCAGGAGGAAUCCUUCCCAAGAUCAGCCUUUACUGGAGAUUGUGUCACUAGAGAUGAAGAACCUGGAUCUGAAAAACAGAUGGAGGAGGGGGAAUUCAGUCUGUGUAGAGAGCCAGUUCCAGAAACAAAUAUGGGAGAAGACUAUAUGAUCUCAGAUACAGAACCUGGCACAGAAGGACAGGUUAGACCAGAGGGGGACAAUUGGAUUGCAGAGCCAACCAAAACAAUUCCAAGACCAACACCUGAAGUGACAAGUAUGACCUCAGAAGAAGAAGCUGUGGCUGGGAAAGAAACUUCUGCAAGAAAAGAGAGUUUUUCUAAGCAGUAUGACAACAGAAGACAGGCAAGCUCAGAGACAAGACCACAGGCUGAAGACCUUUUGCAAGACCAGGAUAAAGGUAAAACAUUCUCCUUUGUUGUGGCAAAGCUUUGUCUGCACUGGUUUAACUAUAGGUGUGUUUUUAAUCCAUUUCAAAACCAGUGA